UGGCGCACGGGUGAGUAACGCGUAGAUAAUCUACCUGAUUGGUUUGGGAUAACACUUCGAAAGGGGUGCUAAUACCGGAUAAGCCCACGAGCUCUUUGGAGCAUGCGGGAAAAGGAGGGGACCUUCGGGCCUUCCGCCAUCAGAUGAGUCUGCGUACCAUUAGCUAGUUGGUAGGGUAAAGGCCUACCAAGGCGACGAUGGUUAGCUGGUCUGAGAGGAUGAUCAGCCACACUGGAACUGAGACACGGUCCAGACUCCUACGGGAGGCAGCAGUGGGGAAUUUUGCGCAAUGGGGGAAACCCUGACGCAGCAACGCCGCGUGAGUGAUGAAGGCCCUUGGGUCGUAAAGCUCUGACAGAGGGAAAGAAGUGUAUUGUGGCUAAUAUCCGCGAUACUUGACGGUACCCUCAAAGGAAGCACCGGCUAACUCCGUGCCAGCAGCCGCGGUAAUACGGAGGGUGCAAGCGUUGUUCGGAUUUAUUGGGCGUAAAGCGCGUGUAGGCGGUUUUAUAAGUCUGAUGUGAAAGCCCCGGGCUCAACCUGGGAAGUGCAUUGGAUACUGUAAGACUUGAAUACGGGAGAGGGCAGUGGAAUUCCUGGUGUAGGAGUGAAAUCCGUAGAUAUCAGGAGGAACACCGGUGGCGAAGGCGGCUGCCUGGACCGAUAUUGACGCUGAGACGCGAAAGCGUGGGUAGCAAACAGGAUUAGAUACCCUGGUAGUCCACGCCGUAAACGAUGAGUACUAGGUGUUGCGGGUAUUGACCCCUGCAGUGCCGCAGCUAACGCAUUAAGUACUCCGCCUGGGAAGUACGGUCGCAAGACUAAAACUCAAGGAAUUGACGGGGCCCGCACAAGCGGUGGAGCAUGUGGUUUAAUUCG
rnacentral:rRNA from 1 species